CACGUAGGGGGCGAGCGUUGUCCGGAUUUAUUGGGCGUAAAGAGCUCGUAGGCGGCUCGGUAAGUCGGGUGUGAAAACUCUAGGCUCAACCUAGAGACGCCACCCGAUACUGCUGUGGCUAGAGUCCGGUAGGGGAGCAUGGAAUUCCUGGUGUAGCGGUGAAAUGCGCAGAUAUCAGGAGGAACACCAAUUGCGAAGGCAGCUCGCUGGGACGUUACUGACGCUGGAGACGCGAAAGCGUGGGGAGCAAACAGG
rnacentral:rRNA from 1 species